GAGUUUGAUCCUGGCUCAGGAUAAACGCGGGCGGCGCACAUAAGACAUGCAAGUCGAACGAAAGUCGUGUAUAUGAAAUUGACUAAGAAUUUAGAUUUAUCUAGAAGAUGAGAAUGUAGAUUAUACAACAAUGGCUUUAGUGGCGGACUGGUGAGUAAUACGUAAGCAACCUGCCUAUUAGAGGGGAAUAACAAUUAGAAAUGAUUGAUAAUACCGCAUAUGCCAUAGUCAUCACAUGAUGAUAGUGGGAAAGGAGUAAUCCGCUGAUAGAUGGGCUUACGCCUGAUUAGAUAGUUGGUAGGGUAAUGGCCUACCAAGUCUGCGAUCAGUAGCCGAACUGAGAGGUUGAACGGCCACAUUGGGACUGAGAUACGGCCCAGACUCCUACGGGAGGCAGCAGUCGGGAAUAUUGCGCAAUGGAGGAAACUCUGACGCAGUGACGCCGCGUGCAGGAAAGAAAGGUUUUUCGGAUUGUAAAACUGCCUUA
rnacentral:rRNA from 1 species